rnacentral:lncRNA from 10 species
GAAGCUAUCUAGAGGCCCACCAAGAGUCACCUAAUUAGUAUAAACUCAGGUGUGGUUGAAAGGAAUACAUUAUGAAUAACAAAAAGCGCUUCUGUUAUUGAGGAAAACCUAAGGGUUUUAGGAGCUCUGCCAGGAAUCAAGGACAAAGACCAAAUAUGUAGGAUGAAUUGGACAAGGAUGAGACUCGUGUAGGUGAGGACAGUUGGAAGGAUCAUGAUGUCGUAAUCUUGGAGUUAGGUGAAACAGGCAGUCCGUUGCCACUGGGCAGUAUAGAUAUGUUGUCCAGCCUGCCAUCACUGGACUGUAGUUAAGGUGGAUGUCUUGUCCAGUCUGCUGCCACUGGGCUGUAUGUAAGGAGGUUCUUCUGUCCACCCCACCGCUACUGGACUCUCUUCCCUGUAGAUGGUCCUAGAACAAUUGGAGAUUCAUACGCACACAAAGAACCUCAACCCUUACCUCACACCAGACACAA